GAGUUUGAUCCUGGCUCAGAUUGAACGCUGGCGGCAGGCCUAACACAUGCAAGUCGAGCGGAAACGAGUUAACUGAACCUUCGGGGAACGUUAACGGCGUCGAGCGGCGGACGGGUGAGUAAUGCCUGGGAAAUUGCCCUGAUGUGGGGGAUAACCAUUGGAAACGAUGGCUAAUACCGCAUAAUAGCUUCGGCUCAAAGAGGGGGACCUUCGGGCCUCUCGCGUCAGGAUAUGCCCAGGUGGGAUUAGCUAGUUGGUGAGGUAAUGGCUCACCAAGGCGACGAUCCCUAGCUGGUCUGAGAGGAUGAUCAGCCACACUGGAACUGAGACACGGUCCAGACUCCUACGGGAGGCAGCAGUGGGGAAUAUUGCACAAUGGGCGCAAGCCUGAUGCAGCCAUGCCGCGUGUAUGAAGAAGGCCUUCGGGUUGUAAAGUACUUUCAGCAGUGAGGAAGGUGGAUAUGUUAAUAGCAUAUUCAUUUGACGUUAGCUGCAGAAGAAGCACCGGCUAACUCCGUGCCAGCAGCCGCGGUAAUACGGAGGGUGCGAGCGUUAAUCGGAAUUACUGGGCGUAAAGCGCAUGCAGGUGGUUUGUUAAGUCAGAUGUGAAAGCCCGGGGCUCAACCUC
rnacentral:rRNA from 1 species